rnacentral:rRNA from 1 species
AUUGAACGCUGGCGGCAGGCCUAACACAUGCAAGUCGGGCGAGCGGCAGACGGGUGAGUAAUGUAUGGGGAUCUGCCUGAUGGCGGGGGAUAACUACUGGAAACGGUAGCUAAUACCGCAUAUCAUCCGAUGAACCCAUAUGGGAUUAGCUAGUAGGUAAGGUAACGGCUUACCUAGGCGACGAUCCCUAGCUGGUCUGAGAGGACGAUCAGCCACACUGGAACUUAGACACGGCCCAGACUCCGACGGUCGGCAGCAGUGGGGCAUAUUGCACAAUGGGCGCAAGCCUGAUGCAGCCAUGCCGCGUGUAUGAAUAAGGCCUUCGGGUUGUAAAGUACUUUCAGUCGAGAGGCGUUACCGACAGAAGAAGCACCGGCUAACUACGUGCCAGCAGCCGCGGUAAUAC